UAAUCUUAUUCACACAAGGUAUAGUAUCCCAUAUUUUCUUCAGAUCAACAAAAAAAAAAUUGGUUUUGUUUUAACUCAGUCUUUGUGGCAAUGUAUUUAUUUGUGCCACUGUGUAGAAUUUUCUGUAUUAGAGUUGUGUAAAUUGUACACAGAACAAGGACUUUGGAGCCAAACAUUUUUUCUGUGAACAACAUGUCUCCAAUUAAUUCCCCGCAACUGCCAUUUUAUUUCUAAUUUUUAUUGUAUACAUACAUUGCUGAUAAAAUCUCAUGCUAUUCAUUCAGCAGUUGCUCAUGCAAAGAUUUAUCAUGCUUUUAGAAAAUCUGUUCACAUUUUUUAACUUAACUGCCUCAUAAGGGAGCUAUGAAAAAUACUUUAAUGGUGAUGCAUAGUAAGGUGUGUUCAUUAACUGUCUCGUAUAAUUUGAUUGGGGAUUUCCGUUUCUCAAUUUAUAAAUUACGAUACAGUGCUGAGGAAUUUAGUAUGUGGAAAUGAAGUCUUAUUAUCAUGUUGAUUUGAUGGCUGAUCUUAUGGCAGAAAUUCUAAAGCCAAUGGUUGAGUGCUGUACAGGAAUCUUUGAAGGAGAGAAAAAUAACAAACUAACAUUUUUAUAAUCAUUAACUUGCCAAAGUUGAUUUUAAACCCCUUACUUUUAGCCAGAGCUAGUAACAUGCCAAAUCCUUUUAAAAAUCCAAAUUUUGUGAUGGCCCACUCCAGCCAUUCUGAAAUUGAAAGCAUUCCUAUUAGCAGAACCACCCCAGUGGCAGCACAGACUUGUAGUGGAUAAGCAUCCUGGUUGUCUCCAUUAAUCAAGUGACAGAGUUGAAUGUUUUACACUGUGAGAAAUUGUAGUCUACUUUUUGGAUAAUAUUAAGAUCAGAUUGUUGGCCCUUGUGGUGGCUUAACUGUGUCUGGGAAGAACAAACUCAACCAGAGAAAACUGCAUUUCAGCCAGUUUUACUUAGGGGCUGUCUGCAUAUGGAAAUUUACCAACAUAAUUAUACUUCCAUAGUUAUACUGGCAUAAUUCCCCAUGUGGACACCCUUAUUCCAGCAUAAGUGUGGCUUUGUCUAGUUUAGCUUGCGUCACUUUGAAAAUGGUAUAAACUAAACUGGAAAAGGACACUUAUUCUGGAAUUAGAGUGGGGACUUUGGGCUUUUAUACAUUUAAAACACUACAGUGUAGACGUUGCCUACUCCAGUGAGAGGGAUUCUCCUGUCAGUGUAGGUAAUCCACCUCCUUGAAGAAUGGUAACUAGGUUGUUGGAAGAAUUCUUCCGAUGACCUAGUGCUGUCUACACAGGGACUUAGGUCGGCUUAAUUAUACUGCUCGGGUGUGUGGAUUUUUUCUAGUAUACCUGCUGGUCUACACUAGUAUAACUAUAGUGAAAUAAGUAUGUCAGUAAAUUUCCAUGUGCAGGCAAGCUCUUACUAAGAUUAUGUUGUGUUUGGGAAUCUUUGGGUUCUUGCCAAUAGAAUUUUCUCUAUUCUCUCACUCCUAUUUAAUAUGUAUACAUAGGCCUUAUUGAGAAAAUAGGGGUUGCUUGUUGAAUAAUAUAAGUCUUUGUAGUCUCCAAAGAAAUGAAAUCAAAUAUUCCUUGGGAAUUAUCAUUGUUUAUGGCCUCUGCAAAGUGCUACAAUGGAUAAAAGUAGAGAUGGGGGGAGAGAAAGAAGGCUUGCAUAUAAAUAUAUACUUACUUCCUAUUUCAGUAUAAUGGGCCGUUCUCUUUAUACUUUGCCCUUUGUCCUCUUAUAUAUGGAUAAAAUUUGGUGUUAAUAAAUCACAGGAUCCUAGUAACUGCCAUGCUAGAUCAUACCAUUGGUUUAGCUAAUCAGGCAUCCUGCUUCCAGGAGUGAUUCAUGGUAAUUUAUUAAGCAUCAUGUUGGCUUUCUUUGUAGUGAAUAUUACUGUAUGUGUGUGAUUGUUUAAUGACUUCCUUUUAUUAAACAAGGAUAAUUACUAUAACAAAAUCCAUGCAUAGUUUGUAAACACCUAAAAAUAAAUUGACAAUUACUAUGCCCUUCCUUUGAACAAUUGUUGCUAAUUAUUUUAACAUAUGGGAUGGGAGGUAAUUGGCCAAAAAGUGUUUUAUGUAAGAGUACUGGUGCAUGAAAAGAAUUCUAAAAUGGAUGUGAUCUAAUUAUUGGUUACUUCUUAUUUUCAUCUCUAUUCAUGCUGUUUGAAUUAAGCUUGUUCUCAAUUAAGUGAAUUCAGUAGCUUGAGAAUCCCCUAAAUACUGUUCAGAUCUAUGAACCAUGUUGUGUCCUCCUUUCAUAUGGAUGAUGUGGUUCCAAGGGCUAAGUUCUCCCUUGCACAAAAAUACCUUGUGUAUGCAUGAAGAAGGUCCAUAAGUUUCAACAUGCAAAGGUUGAGGUUUUUUCCUCAGCAUUCCACCAUCAGGAUGAAUAGGGCAGAUUUUUCCGUAUUAAACUAAUUGCUCGUGCUGGUGUUUAUUAAACCAGUUUCUGGUCUGAGAAUACCUCCACCACAUACAGCUACCUUCCCUUUCUCCCUGGCAGUACAGUGCAUCAGAUGCCUGUACCUCUCUGUCCUCCACAAUAGCAGCUGCAGAGGAGAUUUCUGGUAAGCUAAUUUUCUUGGAGCAACAUUAAUGCUUGGAGUUUGUCUUCACUUAAAAUGCUUACAGCAGCACAGCUGAAGCAUUGAAGCUCACCACUGUAGCACUUCAGUGUAUUCACUACCUACACUGACAGGAGGGGUCAGGAUAAGUAAUCCACCUCCCCAAGAGGUGGUAGCUAGGUUGACAGAAAAAUUCUUCCGUUGAUCUAACACUGCCUGCACUGGCUCAAUCUAACUUUUUAGUGCAGACCAGAACUUGAUCAGUAUCUAUAGUGCCUGAAAGGGAGCAGCCCACAGGGAAGGUAACUCAUUGACUACACCGACCCUGUAAUCUUUGCAGAGUCUGAUACAAUGGAGUGCUUACCAAGAGGGUCUUAUGAAGGAUUUGGGGGCUGAGUGGAAGCAUGCUGUGGAUUAGACAUGUCCUGACAGGCCUAGAAGGUUGGGGUGGAAAUUGUCUGUAUGUAGCUAUGACCUCAGAUUUGAUUGUCCAACAACAAAAAGUGAUAGUCUACAUUUUCAUGCUGUGGGGUCAUUCUUCUGUGGAGCAAUUCUUUCAGAGUACCUACACCAGACAUCUACCCCAAGGAGGCACCAGCAAUUAGCUUGACUGCCUCUCCCUAUUACUGAGCCAGGUUCCAGACAUCUACUGAUGGCUUCUUUCAUAUUGGCCAAAAACAUAUCUGCUCCCAAGUCUGACAAGUAGACUCCCCGGCGGAGAAAUUACAAGCCCCUCUGUGCCAUCUAUGAAUUUGGCUACCUUCCUAUUCAUAUCCCAUGGGUAUUCAACUGCUUUGGAUGGAUGGAAGAUUGAACUGACAUUGCCUGAAAUUAAUGUGGCUGUUCUUGUUUAAUCAUUUUAGCAUAUAUAGAGUUACCUUACCUUUAGAAAACAUCCUUGUAUGUGUACUAGCAGAAGAGUUGAUAACAAUACAUCAUCCUUUCUGUCAUCGAAGCUCAUAACUUGGGUGUCAGCUUCAUCUCCUGCCUCUCAUUCCCCCAUAGGCAUUGAGACCAUUUUCUAGUCCUUUGUGCCAUGAUCCUGCAAAGACUGUAGCAUGAGCAUAAUUUUACAAACAUGACUAGUCCCAUAGACUUCAAUGGAAUUACUGUUAUAUGUAACAUUAUGCACAUGCUUAAUUCUUUACAGGAUGGAGGCCUUCUUGGAUAAAGUUCCUAAUCCGUUUGCCCCAGCAGUGAUGCCAGUCUUGACGCUCCCUUUGUCUUUUUUUUAUAUCAACAGCUCCACUCUUUUCAUUGAGAGAGGGAGACCUUUUUGCAUAGAAUGCCUGCCCUACCUCAUUUAAAUCCCCAUAAUAACUUAGUCAAGAGCAUCCAAUGUUGCAUGUCUGUCUUUCAGUUUUUAUAUUCAUUUUAAAACUUCAAAACGUUAACUGAUCUCAUUUAUGUUACAUUUAACUUGCCCAAGAUGACACAUUAAGUUGUAGACCUGUGAUUUGAAACUAAGUCUUCUGACUGCUAGUCCUGUGCUCAAUUUGCUAGUUGUCCCUGCAGUAAAAAAUUAUUUGCAAAAAACCGA